GAUGAAGAACGUAGCGAAAUGCGAUACGUAAUGUGAAUUGCAGAAUUCAGUGAAUCAUCGAAUCUUUGAACGCACAUUGCGCCCGCCAGUAUUCUGGCGGGCAUGCCUGUUCGAGCGUCAUUUCAACCCUCAAGCCCCAGCGGCCUGGUGUUGGGGACCGGCGACCUCGCCCGAGCCCGCCCUCCGGGGCGCGUGCCCGGUGCGUCCGCCGCCCCCGAAAUGAAUUGGCGGCCUCGUCGCGGCCUCCUCUGCGUAGUAGCACAACCUCGCAAGCGGGAGCGCGACGCGGCCACUGCCGUAAAACGCCCAACUUUUUUAGAGUUGACCUCGGAUCAGGUAGGAAUACCCGCUGAACUUAAGCAUAUCAAUAAGCGGAGGA
rnacentral:misc_RNA from 1 species